GGCCGGGUUGGGUUUGAAAAAUACAACUCACUUAUGUGCGGGUCAGAUUUCAACCCGGCUCAUGCGGGUUGAAUCCGUGGUGAGUCGGGUUGACCCACCAACCCACCUACCUAAUUUUAUUUUUUUAAUUUAUUAUUUUAUUUAUGAAACUCUAAAAAAUAAAAUACUAUUUUCACUCAUUAUGUAUACCAAAAAAGCAA
rnacentral:lncRNA from 1 species